rnacentral:tRNA from 1 species
GAUUAAAUGGCUGAAAAUUAGGCAAUAAAUUGUAAAUUUAUUUAUGAGAAUAAAUCUCUUUAAUCA